rnacentral:tRNA from 1 species
GCUCAAGUGGUGGAAUUGGUAGACACGCUGGAUUCAAAAUCCAGUGCUUCACGGCGUGCGGGUUCGAUUCCCGCCUUGAGUACAA